UAUUUCCUAAGCACACUUUCAGUCAUGGAUAUGGAUGCAACAAGCAAUGCACCCUGAAUUGAAUUACAAUAGCAGUUUAAGGAAAGAAUGGUCCAAAUAAUGGUUGAAGACAGAUAAUACCAAUAAAAAGCAUGUCAAUAAAGAAAUGGUUUAAGGAAAGAAAGAUGAAGAGGAAAGAAGAACAGAGAUUGUACAGAGCAGAGGUGCAUGCAGCAAUGUCAAUUACAAGUGUUGCAGCAACACUUUCUGCUAUUGCUUCUGAAAAUUCGAAAAAGGAGGAAUCAAUGAAGAUAGAGAUGCAACAAUAGCUUAUGCUUCUAUUUUGGUUGCUGCCCAGUGUGCAAUAGUAGCUGAAGCAAUGGGAGCUAAGAAAGAAGAUCUUACUAGUACAAUGUUAUUAGUUCUGCCAUGGGGUGUACUUUAAUUGGUGUGAUGGCAAACUAGUAAUGUGUACAAGAUUGUGAAGGCAAACUAGAAUAAGAUUGUAGUUUUAUUUGUAAUAUUGAGUACUUAGAAAUAUUACUUAAAUAUAUUAUAUUCUUUAGUUAUAUACGGUGAAAUGAUUAAUGCUUUUAAAUGA